rnacentral:rRNA from 1 species
UCUUGGUCAUUUAGAGGAAGUAAAAGUCGUAACAAGGUUUCCGUAGGUGAACCUGCGGAAGGAUCAUUACCGAGUGCGGGUCCUUUGGGCCCAACCUCCCAUCCGUGUCUAUUGUACCCUGUUGCUUCGGCGGGCCCGCCGCUUGUCGGCCGCCGGGGGGGCGCCUCUGCCCCCCGGGCCCGUGCCCGCCGGAGACCCCAACACGAACACUGUCUGAAAGCGUGCAGUCUGAGUUGAUUGAAUGCAAUCAGUUAAAACUUUCAACAAUGGAUCUCUUGGUUCCGGCAUCGAUGAAGAACGCAGCGAAAUGCGAUAACUAAUGUGAAUUGCAAAUUCAGUGAAUCAUCGAGUCUUUGAACGCACAUUGCGCCCCCUGGUAUUCCGGGGGGCAUGCCUGUCCGAGCGUCAUUGCUGCCCUCAAGCCCGGCUUGUGUGUUGGGUCGCCGUCCCCCUCUCCGGGGGGACGGGCCCGAAAGGCAGCGGCGGCACCGCGUCCGAUCCUCGAGCGUAUGGGGCUUUGUCACAUGCUCUGUAGGAUUGGCCGGCGCCUGCCGACGUUUUCCAACCAUUCUUCCAGGUGACCUCG